UACGGAGGGUGCGAGCGUUGUCCGGAAUCACUGGGCGUAAAGGGCGCGUAGGCGGCCUGAUAAGUAGGGGGUGAAAUCCUGCGGCUUAACCGCAGGGCUGCCUUCUAAACUGUCAGGCUUGAGCACAGUAGAGGCAGGUGGAAUUCCCGGUUUAGCGGUGGAAUGCGUAGAGAUCGGGAAGAACAUCAGUGGCGAAGGCGGCCUGCUGGGCUGUUGCUGACACUGAGGCGCGACAGCGUGGGGAGCAAACAGG
rnacentral:rRNA from 1 species